rnacentral:rRNA from 1 species
AACUAACGCUGGCGGCGCGUCUUAGACAUGCAAGUCGAACGGAUGUAGCAAUACAUUAGUGGCGAACGGGUGAGUAACACGUAGGUAAUCUACCUUUAAGUCUGGAACAACCUGAUGAAAAUCAGGCUAAUACCGGAUAGUAUCAAAGUGCCGAAUGGUGUUUUGAUUAAAGCAUUUAUGCGCUUGAAGAUGAGCCUGCGUCUGAUUAGCUAGUUGGCGGUGUAAUGGACCACCAAGGCAACGAUCAGUAGCCGGCCUGAGAGGGUGAACGGCCACAUUGGGACUGAGACACGGCCCAGACUCCUACGGGAGGCAGCAGUUGAGAAUCUUGCUCAAUGGGGGAAACCCUGAAGCAGCGACGCCGCGUGAACGAUGAAGGUUUUUCGGAUUGUAAAGUUCAAUAAGUGGGAAAAAUAAGCCCGUAAGGGUGAUGAUGGGUACCCAUCUAAAGCACCGGGCUAACUACGUGCCAGCAGCCGCUGUAAAC